rnacentral:rRNA from 1 species
UACAGAGGAUGCAAGCGUUAUCCGGAAUCAUUGGGCGUAAAGCGCGUGUAGGCGGUCCGGUAAGUCCGCUGUGAAAGUCGAGGGCUCAACCCUCGAAUGCCGGUGGAUACUGUCGGGCUUGAGUACGGGAGAGGCGAGUGGAAUUCCUGGUGUAGCGGUGAAAUGCGCAGAUAUCAGGAGGAACACCGAUUGCGAAGGCAGCUCGCUGGAACGUUACUGACGCUGAGACGCGAAAGCGUGGGGAGCAAACAGG